UAAUACCGGAUAAGCCCUUACGGGGAAAGAUUUAUCGCCGAAAGAUCGGCCCGCGUCUGAUUAGCUAGUUGGUGAGGUAAUGGCUCACCAAGGCGACGAUCAGUAGCUGGUCUGAGAGGAUGAUCAGCCACAUUGGGACUGAGACACGGCCCAAACUCCUACGGGAGGCAGCAGUGGGGAAUAUUGGACAAUGGGGGCAACCCUGAUCCAGCCAUGCCGCGUGAGUGAUGAAGGCCCUAGGGUUGUAAAGCUCUUUUGUGCGGGAAGAUAAUGACGGUACCGCAAGAAUAAGCCCCGGCUAACUUCGUGCCAGCAGCCGCGGUAAUACGAAGGGGGCUAGCGUUGCUCGGAAUCACUGGGCGUAAAGGGUGCGUAGGCGGGUCUUUAAGUCAGGGGUGAAAUCCUGGAGCUCAACUCCAGAACUGCCUUUGAUACUGAAGAUCUUGAGUUCGGGAGAGGUGAGUGGAACUGCGAGUGUAGAGGUGAAAUUCG
rnacentral:rRNA from 1 species